rnacentral:rRNA from 1 species
GAUCAUGGCUCAGGAUGAACGCUGGCGGCGUGCCUAACACAUGCAAGUCGAACGGGUUAAGGGAAAUUUCGGAUGGAACUAACUAGUGGCGGACGGGUGAGUAACGCGUGGAUAACCUGCCUCACACUGGGGGAUAGCAGCUGGAAACGGCUGGUAAUACCGCAUAAGACCACAGCACCGCAUGGUGCAGGGGUAAAAGAUUUAUCGGUGUGAGAUGGAUCCGCGUCUGAUUAGCCAGUUGGCGGGUAACGGCCCACCAAAGCGACGAUCAGUAGCCGGCCUGAGAGGGUGAACGGCCACAUUGGGACUGAGACACGGCCCAAACUCCUACGGGAGGCAGCAGUGGGGAAUAUUGCACAAUGGGCGCAAGCCUGAUGCAGCAACGCCCGCGUGAGUGAAGAAGUAUUUCGGUAUGUAAAGCUCUAUCGGCAGGGAAGAAAGGCCCGAAAGGGAGAUGACGGUACCUGACUAAGAAGCCCCGGCUAACUACGUGCCAGCCGCUGC